UACUGUAUCUUCAAGUAAGCACUGUACGCCUACUGAUCCUCCGACUUGGCCCCAACCGAUCCAACGCUGGAUUUGAAUGAUCUGGGACGACUGGUUCUGGCGGUGUGCUCUAAGGCGACUUUACAAUAUAUGUAUGUAUAUUGGGAAUUAUGCAGAGUGGAAUUGUCGAGGCUUGCAGUUUGUGCCUUGCCUCAACGUGGGAAUCGGUAAUUGGGAAUAUCAUUUAGGCGACUAAAUGACCAGCUUAAAAUACGAGUAGUCUUAAUACUAACAAAAUGUAAAUUUAAUACCUUUAGAAGAUAAUGUGCAAAACAAUGCAUCCGUUCCAAGAGUGUUCUAGACUCUGGAUAAUAUAAUUCUUAUUUUAUAUGAGAAGUGGUACCUGCUACCAGAGGUGUGAUGGAGAAACAUGAGAUGUUGUACUACUAGACAUAGAACAAGUUUCUGGUAAAUUAAAAUAAAUAACGACUCUACUAAAGGAUA
rnacentral:sRNA from 1 species